GCUGCUACUAUUCUGGGUUUUUGGGUAUGUAAUAAGUUAGAUCAAGAUAGCCUUAACCAAAUCAGUCUUUGAAAAAACAGUUCUUGGUUGGUCUACGUGAAUACAGGGUCUCAAGACCUAGGUCAGGACUAAAUCAUGUUACAUUUUCUUUUGUCCUGAUGGAAAGUUAUUAGGAAUGACCAGGAAUUUUAGUGUACCAUGGGAAGUAGAUAAAUUGGGAAAUCUGGAACUAAGAAAAUUUUCUUUGAACAUACGGUAAUAAUUGUGGUUCCUUAUUAUCCUUCAUUUGUACAUCUUUGUUUCUUUCCUAUUCUUUACGGUAUAGGGUAAACCCCAGACAUUGGCUGUCAAACGCAAGGCUGACUCUGAGGAUGAGAGAGAUGAUGUCUCCACAUUGGGUUCAAUGCUUCCUGCCAAGGCAUCUCCAGUAGCAGAAAGCCCAAAAGUCAUGGACGAGAAGAGCAGUCUUGGAGAAAAAGCUGAAUCCGUGGCUAAUGUGAAUGCUAAUACUCCAAGCAGUGAACUAGUAGCCUUGACCCCCGCCCCUUCAGUACCGCCUCCUACACUAGCCAUGGUGUCUAGACAAAUGGGUGACUCAAAACCCCCACAGGCCAUCGUGAAGCCCCAGAUUCUCACCCACAUCAUUGAAGGCUUUGUUAUCCAGGAAGGAGCAGAACCUUUCCCGGUGGGUUGUUCUCAGUUACUGAAGGAGUCUGAGAAGCCACUACAGACUGGCCUUCCGACAGGGCUGACUGAGAAUCAGUCAGGUGGCCCUUUGGGAGUGGACAGC
rnacentral:sRNA from 1 species